AUGACGGUCAAGCUCCGGUCUCUCCCCAAGCUCGAGAGCCUCACUGCCGUGGAUGCCAGGGUUCUGUUGUGCUCCGACGCCAACGUCCCUUGCCUUGCGCAUGUGAGCCUCGUCUUCUCCAUUGGUCCACUGGACAACCACUCCAUUGUGAACCACUUGAUUGCCUUGUUCAUGCUCUCGUUGAAAGACGCGGCCAUCAGCUUGAGGAAUCUCAUUCUGCGCUUUACUGGGCCAGAGAUGUGGAUUCUACCCAAUCUGAAGAACCAGUUUUCUCUGAUGCCCAAUCUGAAGAAGCUGCUUGUUGCGGAUGUGCCAUCCUCCUGGGAUGUCUCAUGGCCGCGCAUCCUCAUCCAGGCAGCACCACUGCUGGAGAGCCUUCAUGUUCAUGUUUCAUGUUUCACAGUCCCAGUCCCAGUCCCAGUCCCAGUGCCAACAUGA
rnacentral:rRNA from 1 species